GUGCUCGCUUCGGCAGCACAAACACGAAAAUCAGAGCGAGACAGAGACGAUUAGCAUGGCCCCUGCGCAAGGGUGACGUGCACACUCGUGAAGCACUCCGUAUUAAA